CUAUCGCCCUAUCCCCUAGGGCUCAUCUAAGACCUAAGAUGGCGGCGUUUGCACGGGGUGUAAGCGCUGCAGGCGUACCAGGUAUGGAAAGGCGGCCAAAGGACGAAUCUACUAAGGAGUGUCGAAGAACUCGCCGGUAUUUGUGUUGUGAUUUUUAAAAACUUUAAACAGUACAGUUGAAGCCCCCUCUUCAUCACACGCCACAAGUCAUCACAAAGCAUUGAGCUGAUCUCCCUGGAGGUAGAGAUUUAAAGAACAAACUGUUAAACGGAGAUGAACAAUACAAUAACUGAAAUGAAAAACACACUAGAAGGAAUUAAUGGCAGAAUAAAUGAGGCAGAAGAACAGGCCUGUCUAUUCCCUGAGAAACAACAACAAUGAAGUUAGGCCAGUGGAUAUCCCUACAGUGGCCUCUAAGUGUUCAAGUGAAAGGAAGACUCGCACAUCUCUCACUUUAAAUCAAAAGCUAGAAAUGAUUAAGCUUAGUGGGGAAGGCAUGUUGAAUGCCUACACAGGCCAAAAACUAGGCCUUUUGUGCCAGUUAGCCAAAUUGUGAAUACAAAGGAAAAAUUCUUGAAGGAAAUGAAAAGCGCUUCUCCAGUGAACACAUAAAUGAUAAGAAAGCAAAACAGCCUUAUUGCUGAUACUGAGACAGUUUUAGCAGUCUGGAUAGACGAACAGACCAGCCUCAACAUUCCCUUAAGCCAAAGCCUAAUCCAGGGCAAGGCCCUAGCUCUCUUCAAUUCUAUGAAGGUUGACAGAGAUGAGGAAGCUGCAGAAGAAAAGUUUGAAGCUAGCAGAGGUUCGUUCAUGAAGUUUAAGGAAAGAAGCCAUCUCCAUAACAAAAAUGCAAGGUGAAGGAAUAAGUGCUGAUGUAGAAGCUGCAGCAAAUUAUUCAGAAGAUCUAACUAAGAUAAUUAAUGAAGGUGGCCACGCUAAACAACAGAUCUUCAAUGUAGACAAAACAGCCUUCUAUUGGAAGAAGUGCAUCUAGGACAUUCAUAGCUACAGAGGAGAAGUCAAUUCCUGGCUUCAGAGGACAGGCUGACUCUCUUGUCAGGCUAAUGCAACCGGUAACUUUGAGUUCAAGCCAGUUGUCAUUUACCAUUCUGAAAAUCCUAGGGUUCUUAAUAAUUAUGCUAAAUCUACUCUGCCUGUGCUCCGCAAAUGGAACAACAAAGCCUGGAUGAGAGCACAGCUGCUUACAACGUGGUUUAAUGAAUAUUUUCAGCCUACUGUUGAUACCCACUGCUCAGCAAAAAGAGAUUCCUUUCAAAAUAUUGCUGCUCAUUGACAAUGCAUCUGGUCACUCAAGAGCCCUGGUGGAGAUGUACAAUGAGAUUAAUGUUGUUUUUAUGCCUGCUAACACAUCAUCCAUUCUGCAUCCUGUCGGUUAAGGAGCAAUUUCGACUUUCAAUUUUUAUUAUUUAACAAGUACAUUUUGUAAGACAAUACCUGCCAUAGAUAGUGUUUUCUUUGAUGUUUUGGGCAAAGUAAAUUGAAAACCUUCUGGAAUGGAUUCACCAUUCCAGAUGUCAUUAAGAACAUUCGUGAUUCAUGGGAAGAGGUCAGAGUAUCAACAUUAACAGGAGUUUGGAGGACAUUGAUUCCAGCCCUCAUGGAUGACUUUGAGAGGUUAAGACGUCAGUGGAGGAGGUAACUCCAAAUGUGGUGGAAAUUGGAAAAGAACCAAAACUAGGAGUGGAGCCCGAAGAUGUGACUGAAUUGCUGCAAUCUCGUAAUAAAACUUUAAUGGGUGAAGAGAUGCUUCUUAUGGAUGAACUAAGAAAGUGAUUUCUUGAGAUGGAGUCUACACCCAUUAAAGAUGCUUUUGAAUAUUGUUCAAAUGACAAGAAAGGAUUUAGACUAUUACACAAACUUGGUUGAUAAAGUAGUGGAAGGGUUCGAGAGGACUGACUCCAAUUUAAAGUUCCACUGUGGGUAAAAUGCUACCAAACAGCAUUGCAUGUUACAGUGAAGUUGUUCGUGAAAGGAAGAGUCAAUUGAUGUGGCAGACUUCACUGCUGUCUUAUUUUAAGAAAUUGCCAUAGCCACUCCAACCUUUAGCAACCACCACCCUCAUCAGUCAGCAGCCAUCAACAUCAAGGCAAUAUCCUCCACAAGCAGAAAGAUAACUACUCACUGAAGGCUCAGGUGACAGUAUUUUUUAGUUAAGUGCAAUACAGUAAACCUUGUAUAACAUCAUGGGACCCAUUCGAAGUGCCACUAGUGAUGCUGGAAGUGGUCCCAGGAAGCAGAGAAAAGUCGUGACAUUACAAGAAAAAGUUGAAUUGCUUGACAUGCACCUGCCAUUUCAAGAUAAAUCCAGUAUAAGGACCAUUGUAAAAACAGAAAAGAAAAGGAAAUUCAUAAAAUCCUUGCUGUGGCUAGCAACAGACCUAAAAACCUUGCACUUUUUGUGAAAUAACUUUUUAUCUCCUAUUGAAAAUGCAGCUUCUAUGUGGGUGCAGGAUUGGUAUAAAAAAGUCAUGCCUAUAGACUCUAAUAUGAUUCAAAAUAAAGCAAAGUCACUAUAUGGCAAAGCAAAAGGAAGGUGAAGGAUGUAAAGCUGGAGAAUUUAAUGCCAGCAAAGGAUGGUUUGAUCAUUUUAGAAAGAGGUUUGGCUUUAAAAAUGUCAAGAUAACAAGAGAACCAACUUCUGCUAAUGAAGAGGCAGCAGACAAGUUCCCAGAUACCAUUAAGAAAAUCACUGAGGAGAAAGGAUAUCUUUUUAAAAAAUAUGUAUUUUAUUUAUUUUUAGUUAAUUUUUAUUGGAGUAUAGUUGCUUUACAAUGUUGUGUUAGUUCCUGCUGUACAGCAAAGUGAAUCAGUUAUACGUAUACAUAUAUCCCCUCUUUUUUAGAUUUCAUUCCCACUUAGGUCACCACACAGCCCUGAGUAGAGUUCCCUGUGCUAUACAGUAGGUUCUCAUUAGUUAUCUAUUUUAUACAUAGUAGUGUAUAUAUGUCAGUCCCAAUCUCCCAAUUCAUCCCACCCCCGUUCCCCCCUUGGUAUCCAUAAGUUCUUUACAUCUGUGUCUCUAUUUCUGCUUUGCAAAUAAGUUCAUCUGUACCAUUUUCUAGAUUCCACAUAUAAGUCAUAUUAUAUGAUAUUUGUUUUUCUCUUUCUGACUUACUUCAUUCUGUAUGACAGUCUCUAGGUCCAUCCACAUCUCUGCAAAUGACCCAAUUUCGUUCCUUUUUAUGGCUGAGUAAUAUUACAUUGUAUAUAUGUACCACAUCUUCUUUAUCCAUUCCUCGGUUGAUGGAUGUUUAGGUUGCUUCCAUGUCCUGGCUAUUGUAAAUAGUGCUGCAAUGAACAUCGGGGUGCAUGCAUCAUUUCAAAUUAUGGUUUUCUCUGGGUAUAUACCCAGUAGUGGGAUUGCUGUGUCAUAUGGUAGUUCUAUUUUUAGUUUUUUAGGAACCUCCAUACUGUUCUCCAUAGUGGCUGUACCAAUGUACAUUCCCACCAACAGAGGAGGAGGGUUCCCUUUUCUCUGCAUCCUCUCCAGCAUUUAUUGUUUGUAGAUUUUUUUGAUGAUGGCCGUUCUGACUGGUGUGAGGUGAUACUUCAUUGUAGUUUUGAUUUACAUCUCUCUAGUACUUAGUGAUGUUGAGCUUCUUUUCAUGUGUUUGUUGGCCAUCUGUGCGACAGUCAGGUAUGGGCCCGACUCUCCAGCACCAUCCAUUUUCAGGGCUAGUUAAUUUGGCAGGUGAGUUGUUACACACUCUUUAGCGGAUUCCAACGUCCAUGGCCACUGUCCUGCUGAAAGGAUAUCUUCUUGAACAGGUUUUUAACGCAGACAAAAGUGCCCUAUUCUGGAGGGGAAAUGCCACAAAGGACUUUUAUUAGUAAGGAAGAGAAGCAAGCAUCAGAAUUUAAGGCAGGAAGGGGUAGGAUAACUCUACUGUUUUGUGCAAAUGGAGUCAGGUUUAUGAACAGGACUGCCUUUACCUAUAGAGCAGCUAACCCUCGAGCCUUGAAGGGAAAAGAUAAACACGAGCUGCCAGUCUUUUGGUUGUACAACAAGAAGGACUGGACGACAACCCUUUUUUCUGGAUUGGUUCCAUUAAUGCUUUGUCCCUGAAGUCAGGAAAUACUUUGCCAGUAAGGGAUGGCCUUCUGAGGUUCUUCUGAUAUUGGACAAUGCCCCUGGCCAUCCAGAACCCCAUGAGUUCAAUACUGAGGGCGUCAAAGUGGUUUAUGCCCCAAAUACACGUCUCUAAUUCAGCCUCUGGGUCAGAGGGUCAUAAGGACCUUUAAGGCUCAUGACACAAGUACUGUAUGGGAAAGAUUGUCAACGCUAUAGAAGAGAACCAUGAUAGAACAUCAUGAAAGUCUGGAAGGAGUACACCAUUGAAGAUGCCAUCGUUGUUAUAGAAAAAGCCAUGAAAGGCAUCAAGCCCAAAACAAUAAAUUCCUGCUGGAAAAAAACUGUCCAGAUGUUGUGCAUGACUUCACAGGAUUUAUGACAGAGCCAUCAAAGAAAUCAUGAAAUAGAUUGUGGAUAUGGCCAAAAAGAAGGGGGGGUGGUGGUGAGUGAUUCAAGAUAUAGAUCUAUGGAGAAAUUCAAGAGCUAACAGACACCACACCAGAGGAAUUAACAGAUGAUAACUUGAUGGAGAUGAGUGCUUCUGAACCAGUGCCAGACGACAAGUAAGAAGACUUAGAAGCAGCACCAGAAAACAAAUUGACAUUAGACAAUCUAGCAGUGUUCCAGUUAUUCAAGACUGCUUUUGACUUCUUUUAUGACAGGGACCCUUAUAUGAUACAGGUGCUGAAACUAAAGCAAAUCUUGGAAGGAGGAUUGGUACCAUAUAGAAACAGUUUUAGAGAAAUGAAAAGGCAAAAAAGUCAGACAGAAAUUAUGAUGUAUUUCUGUAAAGUUGCACCGAGUUUGCCUGCCUCUCCUGCCUCCCCUUCUGCCUCUGCCAUCCCUGAGACUGCAAGACCAAACCCUCCUCAUCCUCCUCAGUCUAGUCAAUAUGAAGAUGAUGAAGAUGAAGAAUUUAUGAUGAUCCACUUCCACUUAAUGAUAGCAAAUAAUCAUCAUGCCCUACAGUUUAAAAACUUAUCUAUUGUGUAUGUCUGUGAGUGUCUUCAUGUGAAAAUCUAAUAAACUUACAGCAAAAACUCUAUGAGACCUUUUUUGUCACCAUCGUCAUCAUCAUCCCCUAAGUAUUCAUUGUAUAUAACAUCCCAUACAAGACUUGUAUUGAGCUGGGUAACCUAUCCUUACAUAGGCAUAAUGUGAAUGACAUUUAAUAUAAAAUUAAUAGUGGGUUAGUUUUCUUACUGUUUUAUAACUUUACUUUCAAAGAAUUACAUUACAGUAUGCCUCUUGUUAUUGGAGAAACUGUGCAUCAGCCUUAUCAUCACAGGUAAGUGGUCUUUUAAAAGUGUAAUAACAUUUCCAAUACAGUAUUAUGAAUGUGACUGUAAUAUUGUAUACCACAAAAUUUUUAUAACAUUUCAUUCAUUAGUGUAUAGGCUAUCAUAUUGAUUACACUAGGCUACCAUAAAGCAAUCUUUGUUAUCAAUGCGUGAAUCAUUAUACCUGUAAAUAAAUAUUAAUUUCUUUAUUCACAUUGUUUCAUUUUUGAUGUCUAGUGUUAAUAAUAUGUAUACCAUCUACAGUGUUUUGUAUCAUAUAAGACUGUUGUAGGUACUCACAGAUGAUUCAUCUUGUAAACAGAUGAUGUAAACUUAUGGUAUCAAUUAAUUUAUUACAGUACUGUAAAUGUAUUUUCUCUUCCUUAUGAUUUUCUUAAUAACAUUUUCUUUUCUCUAGCUUAAUUUAUGGUAAGGAUGUAGUAUAUAAUACAUAUAGCAUACAAAUAUGUGUUAAUUGACUGUUUAUGUAAUCAGUAAGACUUCUGGUCAACAGUUGGCUAUUAGUAAAGUUUUUAGGGAGUCAAAAGUUAUUUGUAGGUAUUUGACUGAAUGAGGGUUUGGUGCCCCUAACCCCCACAUUGUUCAAGAGUCAACUGUAUUUAUGUAAUAAUGAGACCUCUAUAAAAAGAAAUGUGUAAAAUGAAAAGAAUAUUGAAAUAAUUAUGCAACUAUGCAAAUAACUACUCUGUCUCUUUUCCCUUUCACACACACAUUCAUGCCCUUAUUCAGUUUUGCUAGUAUAUUUUUAGUGGUUAUUUAUAUUAUUAUUUUAAACUCAACAAACUGUGGGAUGAUAGUUUUAAUUGAUGGGAAAGAAUAGCAUGCUUGGUGUAAAUUUAAAAAGCAUCUCAUUAUUUAUUUAAGUGGUAUGCAGGUUAUAGCUUAGUUAGGUAAUUGAGUAACUUGGUCAUUCUAAUGUUUUUUCCAUUCCAGCUUCAGUUAAAAAGUUUGCAGAUUAAUAGCAGAUUUGUUAUAAGUAACAGCUUACCACAUACAUUAGUAAUGUGGUUUGUAAACUCAUUGAAAGAUUGUGGUAGCUGAAGUAAAACAGUCAUGUUGCUAUACAGAGUGGUGUUUUAUCUUCUCCUUUCUCUAAGCAUCUCAGCUUUGAGUCAUUCCUGAAGAAGGGUUUAAUCACAUUCCAGCAAGUCUCUUCAUCUUUGACAUCCAUCUGCACUGCUGAGCUCUGUGGACCUGGUCUUAUACUUGGUUUGGUUUCUGUAGCAUCUUUAUUAAGCUAUAAAAAAGGAGAAUGAAUAUUAACAAACCCAUUAAAAUAUUAUAGAGGGUUGAGAAAAAUACAAGUAGACUAAAAUGCAAGGACAGACUCCUUCAGUAAAGACCCAUGCAUGUUAAUAUCUCCAAAGUAAAAGAACCACAAGUAGAUAGAUUCAAAUGACUGUUGAGAGGAACUGGGGAAAAUACAACAAUAAUGCAGAAAACAGCUUAAGGACAGUGAUCUAAAAACAUAUUCACUUGCAUGUGAUUUAGUAAGAAGAAACAAAUUAUUAAGAAAGCUUAAAUUAACUAAGUGAAGUAAUUUAGGAAGAGAAAGACAAAUACCAUAUGAUAUCACUUAUAUGUAGAAUCUAAAAUAUGACACAAAUGAACAUAUCUAUGAAACAGAAACAGACUCACAGACAUAGAGAACAGACUUGUGUUUGCCAAUGAGGAGGGGAGUAGGGGAGGGAAGUAUUGAGAAUUUGGGAUUAGCAGAUGUAAACUAUUAUGUAUAGGAUGGAUAAACAACAAGGUCCUACUGUAUAGCACAGGGAACUAUAUUCAAUAUAUUGUGAUAAGCCAUAAUGGAAAAGAAUAUGAAAAAGAACAUAUAUGUAUAACUGAGUCACUUUGCUGUACAGCAGAAAUUAACACAACAUUGUAAAUUAACUAUACUUCAAUAAAAUUUAAGAAAAAAAGAAUGCUUGUAUUAAAAGGCUACCAUUUAAAAUGAAUUUGAGGAUUUUUUUUCUUACAGCAAAAAAAAAAGUCACUAAAAGAUCAAUAGGCAGCAUUAAUAAAAAAUCCUGGGGAGAGGUGAGAAUCUAAUUUCUAUAGCUGCCAUAUUAUAAUAUUCAAAAUGUCCACUUUUCAAGAAAAAUCUAAAAGACAUUUUAAUAAAAGAAAAUAUGGGACU